ACUCUUGCCUGGCAGUGGUGAAACUAUUAUCAUGAAGGUGGAUCAUCCAAAGUGGGGCUCAGCCAUCGCACUCUGGCUGUUCUGACCAUUGCGAAUUUUCCCAAAUGGGGCAAUCUCACUUUUCUCCUAGACUCUAGAGGGCAGCGUUGUGCUCCUACACC
rnacentral:snRNA from 1 species